AUCUCCUCUCUUUUUGGCACAGGACCCCCAGGAAGAUGAGCAGGACUUUGUGAGGAGCACCUGAGUUUAUAGAAACAGAGCUUAUCUUCUGGAAGAGGAACAGCAAGGUGCGAAGUGCUGGCUGAAGGGUUCACGUUCUGACCUGAAGAGAAUGGC
rnacentral:lncRNA from 12 species